UUUCCAUUAUAGAUCAAGAAAAAGAAGGUCCUCGUUCUUUCUGUCUGUCUGGUGUGGCAGCCAAGAUUGAAUGGGGAAAUACAAGA
rnacentral:snoRNA from 1 species